GGUUAAGCGACUAAGCGUACACGGUGGAUGCCCUGGCAGUCAGAGGCGAUGAAGGACGUGCUAAUCUGCGAUAAGCGUCGGUAAGGUGAUAUGAACCGUUAUAACCGGCGAUUUCCGAAUGGGGAAACCCAGUGUGAUUCGUCACACUAUCAUUAACUGAAUCCAUAGGUUAAUGAGGCGAACCGGGGGAACUGAAACAUCUAAGUACCCCGAGGAAAAGAAAUCAACCGAGAUUCCCCCAGUAGCGGCGAGCGAACGGGGAGGAGCCCAGAGCCUGAAUCAGUGUGUGUGUUAGUGGAAGCGUCUGGAAAGGCGCGCGAUACAGGGUGACAGCCCCGUACACAAAAAUGCACAUGCUGUGAGCUCGAUGAGUAGGGCGGGACACGUGGUAUCCUGUCUGAAUAUGGGGGGACCAUCCUCCAAGGCUAAAUACUCCUGACUGACCGAUAGUGAACCAGUACCGUGAGGGAAAGGCGAAAAGAACCCCGGCGAGGGGAGUGAAAAAGAACCUGAAACCGUGUACGUACAAGCAGUGGGAGCCUCUUUAUGGGGUGACUGCGUACCUUUUGUAUAAUGGGUCAGCGACUUAUAUUCUGUAGCAAGGUUAACCGAAUAGGGGAGCCGAAGGGAAACCGAGUCUUAACUGGGCGUUAAGUUGCAGGGUAUAGACCCGAAACCCGGUGAUCUAGCCAUGGGCAGGUUGAAGGUUGGGUAACACUAACUGGAGGACCGAACCGACUAAUGUUGAAAAAUUAGCGGAUGACUUGUGGCUGGGGGUGAAAGGCCAAUCAAACCGGGAGAUAGCUGGUUCUCCCCGAAAGCUAUUUAGGUAGCGCCUCGUGAACUCAUCUCCGGGGGUAGAGCACUGUUUCGGCAAGGGGGUCAUCCCGACUUACCAACCCGAUGCAAACUGCGAAUAUCGGAGAAUGUUAUCACGGGAGACACACGGCGGGUGCUAACGUCCGUCGUGAAGAGGGAAACAACCCAGACCGCCAGCUAAGGUCCCAAAGUCAUGGUUAAGUGGGAAACGAUGUGGGAAGGCCCAGACAGCCAGGAUGUUGGCUUAGAAGCAGCCAUCAUUUAAAGAAAGCGUAAUAGCUCACUGGUCGAGUCGGCCUGCGCGGAAGAUGUAACGGGGCUAAACCAUGCACCGAAGCUGCGGCAGCGACGCUUAUGCGUUGUUGGGUAGGGGAGCGUUCUGUAAGCCUGUGAAGGUGUGCUGUGAGGCAUGCUGGAGGUAUCAGAAGUGCGAAUGCUGACAUAAGUAACGAUAAAGCGGGUGAAAAGCCCGCUCGCCGGAAGACCAAGGGUUCCUGUCCAACGUUAAUCGGGGCAGGGUGAGUCGACCCCUAAGGCGAGGCCGAAAGGCGUAGUCGAUGGGAAACAGGUUAAUAUUCCUGUACUUGGUGUUACUGCGAAGGGGGGACGGAGAAGGCUAUGUUGGCCGGGCGACGGUUGUCCCGGUUUAAGCGUGUAGGCUGGUUUUCCAGGCAAAUCCGGAAAAUCAAGGCUGAGGCGUGAUGACGAGGCACUACGGUGCUGAAGCAACAAAUGCCCUGCUUCCAGGAAAAGCCUCUAAGCAUCAGGUAACAUCAAAUCGUACCCCAAACCGACACAGGUGGUCAGGUAGAGAAUACCAAGGCGCUUGAGAGAACUCGGGUGAAGGAACUAGGCAAAAUGGUGCCGUAACUUCGGGAGAAGGCACGCUGAUAUGUAGGUGAAGUCCCUCGCGGAUGGAGCUGAAAUCAGUCGAAGAUACCAGCUGGCUGCAACUGUUUAUUAAAAACACAGCACUGUGCAAACACGAAAGUGGACGUAUACGGUGUGACGCCUGCCCGGUGCCGGAAGGUUAAUUGAUGGGGUCAGCGCAAGCGAAGCUCUUGAUCGAAGCCCCGGUAAACGGCGGCCGUAACUAUAACGGUCCUAAGGUAGCGAAAUUCCUUGUCGGGUAAGUUCCGACCUGCACGAAUGGCGUAAUGAUGGCCAGGCUGUCUCCACCCGAGACUCAGUGAAAUUGAACUCGCUGUGAAGAUGCAGUGUACCCGCGGCAAGACGGAAAGACCCCGUGAACCUUUACUAUAGCUUGACACUGAACAUUGAGCCUUGAUGUGUAGGAUAGGUGGGAGGCUUAGAAGUGUGGACGCCAGUCUGCAUGGAGCCGACCUUGAAAUACCACCCUUUAAUGUUUGAUGUUCUAACGUUGACCCGUAAUCCGGGUUGCGGACAGUGUCUGGUGGGUAGUUUGACUGGGGCGGUCUCCUCCUAAAGAGUAACGGAGGAGCACGAAGGUUGGCUAAUCCUGGUCGGACAUCAGGAGGUUAGUGCAAUGGCAUAAGCCAGCUUGACUGCGAGCGUGACGGCGCGAGCAGGUGCGAAAGCAGGUCAUAGUGAUCCGGUGGUUCUGAAUGGAAGGGCCAUCGCUCAACGGAUAAAAGGUACUCCGGGGAUAACAGGCUGAUACCGCCCAAGAGUUCAUAUCGACGGCGGUGUUUGGCACCUCGAUGUCGGCUCAUCACAUCCUGGGGCUGAAGUAGGUCCCAAGGGUAUGGCUGUUCGCCAUUUAAAGUGGUACGCGAGCUGGGUUUAGAACGUCGUGAGACAGUUCGGUCCCUAUCUGCCGUGGGCGCUGGAGAACUGAGGGGGGCUGCUCCUAGUACGAGAGGACCGGAGUGGACGCAUCACUGGUGUUCGGGUUGUCAUGCCAAUGGCACUGCCCGGUAGCUAAAUGCGGAAGAGAUAAGUGCUGAAAGCAUCUAAGCACGAAACUUGCCCCGAGAUGAGUUCUCCCUGACCCUUUAAGGGUCCUGAAGGAACGUUGAAGACGACGACGUUGAUAGGCCGGGUGUGUAAGCGCAGCGAUGCGUUGAGCUAACCGGUACUAAUGAACCGUGAGGCUUAACCUU
rnacentral:rRNA from 1 species